rnacentral:misc_RNA from 1 species
UAUGCAGUUUUGUACCAUGGCUCAACCAAGUCAGUUUGUCCUUCAAAUUCCUUAGACACCCAAAAAAUCCGGGCAUUGGUUGGAGAAAGCUGAUUCAUCACUGAAUGAAUUAUGCUUGGGCUGAAUUUGGAAGGCAUGGAGGAUUGAANNUAGCCAAUCUUUUGGAGGAUAUAACUGCAUAUUUGAUGCAAUUUCAAUUGCAUAAUAGAUUGGAGAGAUUUUGUCUUGAUAAUGAAAAUUUGUCUCACAAAUUCCGGCAAGCUCAUCGAAUAUCCAUUUGCGAACACCAGAUUCUUGUAAAAGGUGNNNNNNNNUUGAUAAUGAAAAUUUGUCUCACAAAUUCCGGCAAGCAUGACCAUCAUCAGUAAGAUCAAUUGUCACUUUGAAGAAAGAAAACUCCCGAUUUUGACCAUCUUCAUUUGCAUACAAACUUGUAGCCCAUCCCAAUGAUUUCAAGAUGGAAAACAAAGAUCCUUCUCCUUCAUGG